GUGGUCAAAGCAGCUGUGUUGAUCAUCAGUCCAAGAGUUUGUAUCAUUCAGUUAGAUCUGUAGGAAUGCCAGUGAAGGAACCAUUAAUUGCAGUACAUAAUGCAAAACAGCAAGGGAGCCCUUCAUUGUGUGAAAAAUCAGAAGAUCAUUGUAACCUCACUUCUGUAGUAUCACAUGAAAUUUGCCCAGCUCAGAUCAGUGUUGAAUUGUUAGAGUCUGAGAAAAAUAACCAAAAGUCAAAUGAAAUAGAUAAAAUGGAAACCAUCUUUGACUCAAAUAUAUUUUUCAGAGGUAUGGUAUAUUAAUUUUUUGUAAUCAAUUUGUUUUUAGAAAUUACUAUGUUUAGUAUAUAAAAUAAAUUAAAUUAUGGUGAGAUACAGUACAUAUACAUGAUAAAUAAAUAACUGUUCAUUUCAGUGGAGACAUCUGGGGAUUUCAUAAGCCUUAAUAUUUUCUGUCAUUUAAUUGCAAACAAGGAUGCCCAUCCACACCUAUGCGUGAAUCAACAAUUGAACACUUUCACUGACUGCAACUGUGGUAAUACAACAUAAAGAGGUAGAUGGUUUUAAUUAGCAAAAUCCCAGGAUAUCUAGGGCUUUAUAGAUCAGAACCAGCAAACUUAAACUCCCCGCAAAACCCAAUGUACAUCUCAGAGCAUUGUUAUCAUGUCUUCUCGACAAGAAACACUACUUAAAUAGAACGGUGCUCCAUUCUGCACCAGCUUCAGUUUCCAAAUGUUUCUAAGGUGUAGAGCACAUUGCAGUAGUCUUAUUGUGAAACAGCAAGUUUUUCUUCGAGUGAUGGUCCCUAUUCUACUGUGGGGUUAUGCAUGCCCACUAUGCACCUGGAGUCAGAGAAUUUGAAAGUAGUGUCUGUUGGUCUGCGCAUGCACCCUGACUCACCUCAUGCCUCCGACUGAAGUGAUAAAGGGAGGGGCAGACUAAUUGCCUCUUCAGUUCCUCCUCUCCGCCACAUGGUCUGGAUCCUAACCUUUAGCGUCCUCAGCUCUGAUGUCUUUCUGAAAAACAAUAUUCAGUUGCAAAUAGUUCAUAGUUUUAAUAGUUCUUAAUAACUUUUAUAGAUGUAGUAGUUUUAAUAGUUUUUAGUAUCUUUUAGAGUUAGAUUAGGCAACAGGGAGGAUUCCGGACACUCUUCUGUGUACCCCUUCCAGACUGUCAUAAAUAUCAAGGGAAGGGUUACCACCUUUCUGUAUACAGUGCUAUAAAAUCCCUCCUGGCCAGAGGCAAAACCCUUUCACCUGUAAAGGGUUAAGAAGCUAAGAUAACCUUGCUGGCACCUGACC